AAAAAAGUUGAUACACGAUCUCUCUGAGAAGAAGAAUUGCUACCUAGCUAUGCUAACAACACACUCCACAAACACGAACCCCAACAGAGAGAGAGCAACUGCACUUUAAAAAAUUGGUAAAAGAAAUAGGUUAGAGAGGAGGAGAGGAAGACGACCAAAGGGGAGGGAGAAAGAAGAAAAGGGUAUAGGGUUUGUUUUGGUCUGAGAUGCGGCAGACUAAUUUAACUUUUUAUAAAACCAAUUAAUAGGCUGACAGAAGUAGGCUUAUAGGGGUUAGGGGUACAGUGGAAAUUAAAGUAAAACUGGGAGGUGCAGGACUAGGUCAUGGAGGUGCUGAGAGGAACACUCUAAUACAAUUAUUGCACAGUUGGCAUCAAUGUAGAUAACUUUUGAUGAUGAAAUAACAAUGUUAGUUCUACUAUCAUCUCUUUCAGAAAGUUGGGAUGCAACUAUUACUGCACUUAGUAAUUCUAAAAGCAACAACAAGUUGAAUUUUGAUAACAUCUGUGACUUGAUCAUAAGCGAAAAUGUUCGUGGG
rnacentral:lncRNA from 1 species